GGCAGUUCUCGGGUGACACACUCCAGAAUUGAGCUCCCUCUUCUCUGAUUCUGGGUGUGUCACCCGAGAACUGCA
rfam:Myotis brandtii contig265560, whole genome shotgun sequence.